UACGUAGGCAGCGAGCGUUGUUCGGAGUUACUGGGCGUAAAGAGUGCGUAGGCGGUUUUCUAAGUUUGGUGUGAAAUCUCCCGGCUUAACUGGGAGGGUGCGCCGAAGACUGGAAGGCUUGAGUAUGGGAGAGGUAAGCGGAAUUCCUGGUGUAGCGGUGAAAUGCGUAGAGAUCCGGAGGAAGACCGGUGGCGAAGGCGGUCUGCUGGGCAGUUUCUGACACUGAUGCGCGACAGCGUGGGGAGCAAACAGG
rnacentral:rRNA from 1 species